UCUGAUUCCACUUCAAGUGAAACUUCAGUUCGUGUGGAAAAGUACCUUAGGGUUUCCACCAUGGCUUGUGCCUCCGCUUGAGCUGCUGAAGACCCCUUGAUAGAUCGGGAAAAACCGUCAAUUAGCCUCCAUCAAUGUUGAUUUUGAGUUCCCCUGGCUCUGGUGGCCGCCAUUGAUGGAGGUGGAAGCUUGCUGCGUUUUUGGUUUUCUUCUUCGGAGGGAGCCACCGAUCAUGAUUUCGUUGCAUCGCAACAGCUUCAUCCACUACCUGCUGUGGAUCUGGUUUUUUCUCUCGAAAAACAAAGUGAUUUCGAGCUUUCCAUAUUUGCCAAAGAACAAACGCUAGAAGCUCAAAGGAGGCCGAGAUUUUCCUCGUCCAUGAACAAAGAAGGAGAGCGUGUUCUACGGUUUCCGGGCAUUGAUUACAGAGACUGCAAAGGGGAUGAGGUCCAUGAGGCAACAAGCAUCUAAGAAAUCCUGGAAAGCCUUCAUGUGGUAAUUCUCUGCCACCCGCAUACCAACUUUUUCCCACAGGUAGAGAAUUUCAUUAAAAUCACCAGCACAAAUCCAUGGAAGGUUAUUCGAGUGACUGAUCUGGCACAAUUCCUCCCAAAGAUGAAGUCUUCCUUGAAAAUCGUUUGGUGCGUAAACAAAAGUGAUUCGCAUUCUCCGCCCACUUCCUAUGUAUUCCCCAAUCACAUUCACAAAGUGUGGAGAGUGUGAUUCUACUGUAACUAAAAUCCUAUUAUCCCAAAAGAGUGCCAACCCCCCUGCCGUCCCCACUGGAUUCACCACAAACAAAUUCUGAAACUGCAAACGUCGUUUUAGACGAAAUACCAUUUUUUCUUGAUUUUUUGUUUCCAUUAAGAACAUUAAACUGGGCCUCUCCUCAGCCACUAGGGCUUGGAUGGCUUGAAUUGUCAGGGGUGUGCCCAACCCUUGACAAUUCCAACAUAGGAAAUUCAUUUGUAACCCGACGGCUUAUUCGGGCUAGCCACCAGAGCCCUUUUUUCAGUCUCUACUACCAACUUGACAGGUGUAUCAAGUAGCUGGGAUUCAUCAAAUUCCAAUAUGUUAGGUUGCUGAGUAUCAUAAGGAUUGUACCUUGCUUUUUUAGCACUUGGAAUUUUCUUCUUGCAAAGUUUUUUCUUCUGAUAAACUGGGACUAAGGCUGUAUUUACCUCUGUCUGUGGAGGAAUCGUGACAAAAGGUGGGAUUGUUUCAGUCAUUUGGCAUUCUUGCACCUCAACAUAGCAUUCUUCUAGAGAUGCCAUUCGUUGCUGUGAGUCUUCUGCCUCUUCCAUGGCAGCCGAGCUGAAAGGAUUCAAGCUUUGGAAUCAGACAAUCCAAUCAGUGAGGGAUGAUUGAGCGGGCGGGUGUAAAAGGGUUUUUUACAGUUAUUAUAAAGUUGGCCCUCGUGCUUUAUUCCUAUGAGCGAGAGAAUAAAAUAUGCAGAGCAAGGAACCAGAUAGAUGGUAUAGUAAUUCGGAAGAAGCAUCUGAUAGACUCGCUAAAUGGCUUCGAAGACUAGGAGCGGCGACUUGCGAGUGUAGCAUGUUGCUGAGCUCCAUUAUCAUGUAUGUUAUGGCCUCCUUGACCCUCUCUUGAGAUGUCUUGUUGAGUUGAAUUGCCCACUGGCUUGAAAUUGGCUUUAGGCUUGGGCAACUUCUUUGAAAGACCCAGUCUGUAAAUUAUUCGAAUAGUUCGUGAUCCCUGUCCUUCAAUUGCCUUGUAAUGAUGCAUCUCUCCUCUUCUGAGAUCUUUUGAA